GACGAACGCUGGCGGCGUGCUUAACACAUGCAAGUCGAACGGUGAAGGGACCGGUUUUUGCUGGUUCUGGAUGAGUGGCGAACGGGUGAGUAACACGUGAGUAACCUGCCCCCUUCUUCUGGAUAACCGCAUGAAAGUGUGGCUAAUACGGGAUAUUCUGCGCCUGCUGCAUGGUGGGUGUGGGAAAGAUAUUGUUUCGGUGGGGGAUGGGCUCGCAGCCUAUCAGCUUGUUGGUGGGGUGAUGGCCUACCAAGGCGGUGACGGGUAGCCGGCCUGAGAGGGUGGACGGUCACACUGGGACUGAGACACGGCCCAGACUCCUACGGGAGGCAGCAGUGGGGAAUAUGGCACAAUGGGCGCAAGCCUGAUGCAGCGACGCCGCGUGAGGGAUGGAGGCCUUCGGGUUGUAAACCUCUUUCGCCAGUGAAGCAGGCCUGUCCCUUUUGUGGGUGGGUUGACGGUAGCUGGAUAAGAAGCGCCGGCUAACUACGUG
rnacentral:rRNA from 1 species